GGCAGCGAGCGCGGAAGCGUGCUUCCUCGCGUUGGGAGGAAAGGACCCUCUGCCCUUUUGUCCCCCGCACUUGGCUUCGGGCUGAUCGCGGGGGCGGUGAUGACGACUCUCGGCGGGGCGCGGGCCUCGGGAGCGCUCCCCGCAGGCCCCGGACGGGGAGGCGGAGGGGGCUCGGGCCGAACGCGGGCUCCGAAGCCGGGGCGGGGCGGGCAGUAGUAGGGUCUCCUCGGAAAACGAGAACUUUCCCGUCCCCCGGCGAUUAGAUGCAGGCAGGCACCGAUUGGCCGCUUUGUCCUCGUCGGUCACAGCACCCAGAGCACCCUCCCUCUGGGGAUCCAGGUGAGUUUACGGGAAGAUCUGUGUGCAGGCUGAACGUGUGCCAGUUUCUUUUCUGCCUGGUUCCGUGUGCCUGAAAUAGAAUUGUUGGGGCCUGGAACUUUCCAGAUUCCUUUGGUUUCAUUCCCUCAACCAUGUCACUUUGGAACGCGGGCCCUGUUCGUGCUUCAGACCCUGUUUUGUAUGGACCUGAAUAAAAGGGGUCAGUCCCCAAGGAGCAUUUCACGCACUUCGUGGUUUUCGUUCCCAGCGACCUUGUGCGUGAUGUGUCGCUUCUGCUUCUGAGAAACGUCGAUGGCAGCAGUGUUCCCAGCUGGAGAGUGACGUAGGGAGCCAGCCACGGGUCUCUAGGAAGUGUGAGCGCUGGGGACGCGUGGAGGGAAGUGACUGUUGUCUCCGUGAUCUGAGGGGGGCAGGGGGAAGGCUGGUGUAGCUCAAGGUGGUGGUCACCUUGUUCAGACGUCACUUGGGGUAGAAUUUCCAAAGACGGCUGUGACCUUGGCACUGAUCGCUGCCAGGCACUGCCCGUCCCUGCUCCCUCCCCGAUGUCUCCCGCCCCGUCUCUCCCAGGCCUUCCUGUCUUCUGACUGUUCACCACCUACUGAUGUGAGAAAAGGAAAACCCAGCCCGCCUGUGUUUGUAGCUGUCGCGUUAGUGAUGGUUGUACACGUAGGGUGAGCCUUGGACUGUUUUCGUGCUCUCUUCUUGUUACAGUUGGGGUAUAACGUCCUUUUUUUUUUUUUUUUUUAAGUUUGUUCAUUUUGAGAGAGAACGUGAGAAGGGGAGGGGCAGAGAGGGAGAGAGAGAAUCCCUCUGUGCCGUCACCAUCAACGCCGGACAUGGGGCUUGAACCCACGAACCCGUGAGAUCAUGACCUGAACGGAAGUGAAGAGUCAGAUGCUUAACUGAGCUACCCAGGCGCCCCCAUACUGGGUGGGUGUCUUGGCAUCCUCUCCCCCGCCCCUCAUCUUGUCCAGCUCAAGUGCCGGGAGGGUCGGGCCCACGGGUGCCUGCAAAGCCGAGAAUGCAACUUAAAACCUGCAAGGUGAACUGUCAGCGGGCUUUAUAACGGACCGACAGUCCGAGACUACAGAUGUGGGGGUGGGGGGCGUGGCCCCCAAGGGAAAUGUCCAUUCAGAGGCCCCAGAAAGCGCCUCCGCACCGAAGGGCAGGCGUUCCCACGUUCCGCACAGCCCGGACAGUUAGCACGGGGUCUCCCAUCCCAGCUGCGCCCUGGCCUGCACUGCGACCUCAGGCCCCUUCCCUGUUUCUUAGUAAAAUGGGGGACUCUGAUGACAGGGACACCCACGGGCCGGUGCCUGGGAGGAGUCUGUGAGCGAGUCAGGAGCACUUGAGAUCAGCCUUGGCUGAUGGACAUUCUCGGACUUUCGGAGCCUUUCACGGUGCUUCCCGCUGUGAGCCUCUAGGUUGUUGCUGCGCAGGCGGGCCCGGGAGGGCGACAGGAAGGUCCUUGCUGCCAAGCGUGGGAGCUGAGGCGGGUUUGCUACAGGCUCCUGGCUUUCUGAGCCUGUUAGUGUCCACGUUUGGGGCGCACACACGAGCACGUGACUCUCAGUGUGGUCACCCGCCCUCUACACGCUCGUCUUCGGCGGAAGUAUCAGUUGCCCAGACUGACAUUGUGUUAAGAUGUGUGUACUGGGGAACACAGCGUGUGUUGUUGGCAUUUCUGGAAUAAUAAGCAGCUUCGACGCCCGCUUCCUGCUUUGCUCUCCUGCGGUGUUUUUCUUGAGGGCAAACGGCCACUGUGGCCGUGGGCAGGGCCCGGUCUGGCCUCGGUGGCGUCCAGCGGAGCAGCCGUGGGCUCUGUCUGCAGACUGGCUCACUGAGUUACCGCAGCCUCUGCUUCGGUAGGUUCACCGGAGGCCUCAGAUCGUUCCGGGCCCCCCUGAGCAGGAACGUGGUGUUUCCGGGGCGGGAAAGGCAAAACCGGAUGUGCUUCGGCUGGGCAGUCGUCUGUGAUGUGCGCGUGCCGCCUUCCGUUCCCGUUUGACAUCGAUGUUGGCGGGGGUUGGGUGCUCGAGUGUCGUCCCCGGUGGGUCCACGUGGCUUGGUCUGAGACCUGGGGCGGAAGAGCCCGCCCGGGACAGGGGAAGGGAUGCUCUGAUGCGGGGUGGUGUGGGCUGAGACCACGCGGUCCUCCUUGGCAGUCCCGCAGCCCUCAGGAUGCCUGCUCGUCUUCUCAGUCUGCUGGAGCGCUCCCCUGAUGGGGCUGCUUGACUCUGAACCUGCACCCCCAGCCCCGUCUCUGCGACUGCACCUCGGUGCACGAACGCGGUGUGCUGGGCGCUGUCGGCGAGGGGAGGGCAGCCCCGAACCCACGGGAGGAGACUCGGGAGGACGUUUCGUGUGGCUGAUGCCAGCGGUCUCCCGCUCCUUCGGUCGCAGCUCCUUCAUGCCUGCCUGGGCGCGGCGACGGUGUUUUCCCCAAAGAACACAUAAUUUGAAAUAGGCUGCGGUAGGACGCCCUUGGACUUCAGCAUCUCUGGCUUUUGUUCCUCUGGAUUGUGUGAGAGAGGGUUGGAGUAGGGGCAGGAGCCCAGGCUGCCAAAGACUCUUCAGCGGAGCACUAGAUCACGAAACGCGUGGUCCGCGAGAAGUGAUUUUUAAUGUCAACAACAGCCGUGGAACACAAAAGGCCUGUAGCAGGAAACGGAAUGAAAACGACCGCGGAAGAGUUACAGCGAGUCAUGGUUUUGAAGUUCCCUCUCUGGCCACUAGGGGAUGCAAUCCCACACCAGCCUGCUCUCUUUGGCAACUUGGUCCAGUUCUAGGUUUUUAAUGCAGCCGAGCCCUUAUUUCACCAGAAAGUUAUGCGGAAGGUUAAUCUGCAGGGCUGGGCUCUUUGUUAGGAAUCCGCCAGGGUAUCCCAGUUGCACACGGUGUCUGGGAGGUGUUGGUCGUGUCAUGGACGAGCUGAACCAAACCCGGGCACGGGACACUGGCGCUUGGGGAGAAGAGGGUGAUGCGACGUUCCAUCCGGAUUCACUCCGGAUUCCCCACCCGACAGCAGGUGGCUUUACUCAGUGUGAGCAGAUUUUCUUUGAUUUGCCCCCUGAGAGGAUCCAAGAUCUGCACAGUGUGUCCCUUCCCUUGGCAGCUGUGGGAGGCUCCCUCUCGGCCCUGCUGAGCCGUGACUGUGGCGUCCCCAGGAUGGCUGACACGGGAAGAGACAUUUGGGUGUAAGCUCCUGGGACAGCCGACCUGGUGCCUUUCACCUCGCGGAUGAAGCCGGAGUCGGGCCACACGUCUGGUUUCAGAGCAGCAGGGCCCCGGGCACACGGGACUCCGUCCUAGGACUCACCCGCUGGUUUUUUUUUUUUCUCGCCUGUUGCCCCCUCGCAGGAGCCGUGUCCCUCCUUGCUUUCUCAACGAACAGUAGAUGUGUUUUCAUUUAAAUUAACGCCAAGAAGGCUACAGAAAGCGCAUUCUCCUCGAACCUUUACGAGGCCAAGGCUUGUCCCGGUUUCACGUGGCCAUCCAUAACGAGUGUGGCUAAAACAGCUAUUCGUUCCGGUAUUUGUGCAGAUCAGUAAUGCAGCCACAGCAGAAAACUUGUUCUUUUAUUGCAGACUUAGUUAAAUACGGAGCCGAGUGAGUCAUUGGAAGGUCACAUGUGUCCGGGCCCGGGACCCGUGGGGUUGUGGGAUGGUCACCCAGCACCGCUCCAGAAUGCAGCGGCCGUCAGCACAGCGCCCACAUUACCACGUGGAAUUAAAAUAAGACUUGGCCUUUCUUCGGACAACAAAUUCUUUGUGAAAACCAGACUUGGGUUUUUACCCUGACCUCCACUAGAGGCUCUGUGAGCCAUGUGUGUUCCGUCUUUGCGGCGGUGCCCCCCUCCCACCCCCCGCCCGACCGUGGGAUACGCUUCUUAAAGCCCAACUUCUGACAUAUGUGCCCCUUUGGGAAUUUUCCUCGGUUGUCCUCUAGCUGGGUGAGCUAUGGGCGGCGUCCCCUUCACCCACGUGCCUUCUUUGUUCCAGAUCGCUGCACCCCUUUGAAAGUCAAAGGAGGAGAUAGGAGAGAGGGAGUCAAAGUAACAGAAAGGUGUUCCUUCUCCGGUCAUUGUAGAUACGUGUGAGCCCUGCUGGGUGUUUGCCUUUAGUUUUUUCGCCCCACGGUAACAACACACAAGUUGCAAAGCGCAGAGGAUUAAAAGGCUGGCGCUGAACAGCAGCUCCCGGCGCCCGGCUUCCCAGGGGCCUGGCCUCGGCGCCCGCUUUGUGUGGCUCUGUC